rnacentral:rRNA from 1 species
AGAUUGAACGCUGGCGGUAUGCUUUACACAUGCAAGUCGAACGGCAGCACGGACUUCGGUCUGGUGGCGAGUGGCGAACGGGUGAGUAAUGUAUCGGAACGUGCCCAGUAGUGGGGGAUAACUACUCGAAAGAGUGGCUAAUACCGCAUGAGAUCUCUGGAUGAAAGCGGGGACCGUAAGGCCUCGCGCUACUGGAGCGGCCGAUAUCAGAUUAGGUAGUUGGUAGGGUAAGAGCCUACCAAGCCAACGAUCUGUAGCUGGUCUGAGAGGACGACCAGCCACACUGGGACUGAGACACGGCCCAGGCUCCUACGGGAGGCAGCAGUGGGGAAUUUUGGACAAUGGACGCAAGUCUGAUCCAGCAAUACCGCGUGCAGGACGAAGGCCUUCGGGUUGUAAACUGCUUUUGUACGGAACGAAAAGCCUUCUUCUAAUACAGGGAGGUCAUGACGGUACCGUAAGAAUAAGCACCGGCUAACUACGUG